AAAGCAUCUGCUUGCAUAGGAGUCGCAGCAAGUUGGAUACUCCAAGGUGAAACUCUCUGUGGCCGAGGUAUGCUACAAGUUUCAUCCCAUCUCACCUGAAGGCAUCUCCAUUUUGAUUCUCUCCACCUUAAGGGAUCAACGUCUUCAAUUCUCACAAUGGUACCAGUAAAUCUAUGCUCAACAGUGUCUCUUUCAAAUCUCAUUUCGAAACUCAUCCCUAUGGAGUAAUUAGUGGCAACAGACGCCAUGUACCGAUCAAAUGGAAUGAUAAACUCAGCCCUCGGUCUGGUCCGCCUUGGACGAUGAUAAACAGUAAACAUGGUUCCUCUUGAGAUGGCUUCCCAUGCGGUGGCAACUUCAAUGAGAUACAGUGGAACAUUACUACUCUGCUCUAUCUUGGCUCGUCUAACUCCAACUCCAAU
rnacentral:misc_RNA from 1 species